UACGGAGGGUGCAAGCGUUGUCCGGAUUUACUGGGUUUAAAGGGUGCGUAGGUGGGCAGGUAAGUCAGUGGUGAAAUCUCCAGGCUUAACUUGGAAACUGCCAUUGAUACUAUCAAUCUUGAAUACCGUGGAGGUCAGCGGAAUAUGUCAUGUAGCGGUGAAAUGCGUAGAUAUGACAUAGAACACCAAUUGCGAAGGCAGCUGGCUACACAAAUAUUGACACUGAGGCACGAAAGCGUGGGGAUCAAACAGG
rnacentral:rRNA from 1 species